GGGCCCAUGGCGCAACGGUAGCGCGUUCGACUCCAGUUCAUGGAUACAUCGAAGGCUGGGCGUUCAAAUCGCUCUGGGCUCA